AAAAAACAAGAGGUGCACAAUAUUCCUUGUAAACAAAAAGCGGAGGUAAAAUAUCAACCGAGAGCUUGGAUUCGGUAGGGAAACACGUUGGCAUCCUGCUCCUGCCGCCGUCGCCGUCCGAGUCAGCAGGAAAUCUAGAGAAAAUUCAGCUGCCGUCAGAUGGGGGAAAUCUUGUUGAAACAGUUGCAGUUCCAGCCAUCCAGGGGCUUCGCCUCCUGGCCAGUCGCCGGUCUCCUCUCCGAGUCCAACAAACACCUCGGGAGCACGGCGAUUUCCCUGCCGCAAGCCAACAAAAGCUCCCCUCCCUCCCUCCCUCCCACCCGCCCGCCUCGGUCGUGCCGCCGUCACACGUAUUCCUAUUCCCCGGGGGGGGACUCCCCCCGUUCAUUGGGGGGGGAGUUCCUUUCCCCUAACAAGACUCGCCAUAAAAAAUACAAACUCCCANNNNNNNNNNNNNNNNNNNNNNNNNNNNNNNNNNNNNNNNNNNNNNNNNNNNNNNNNNNNNNNNNNNNNNNNNNNNNNNNNNNNNNNNNNNNNNNNNNNNCCUAAUGAUAAAUUUGGUUUACUGCGUAUCUCUCCAGUCUCCCACCCAAUCCGCACCGGCAGCCGGCGGCGAUGAGGUGGGACGCGGCGGAGACGGAGGCGGUCCUCGAGCGGAUCUGGGACCUGCACGACCGCCUCAGCGACGCCAUCCUCGCGUCCUCACGCGCGCACCUCCUCCUGCCCCCUCCUCCCCCUCCCCCGCCCCAGCCCGCGCCGUCCGCGCCCUCCGCCAAGGGGGCCCACCUUCGCGGCGGCGGCGUCAGGAACGGGUGCGUCUUCGUCAAGGGAGGCGGAGGCUGCGGCGGACGGGACGGGGGAGAGGCGCUGGCGGCGGCCGCGGAGGCCGUGGCCGAGGCCAGGAGCCUGCACGCCAUCCGCUCCGCGCUCGAGGACCUCGAGGACCACCUCGAGUUCUUACAUGUGAGGCUCCUGCGCCCCUCCCACCCCUCUCUCCCCCCCAAUUGCUUCCCAACAGCUGUUCUAGGGUUUCGCGUUGAUUGGUAGCGUGAGUUAAUUCGGGUCUGGACCACUGCUUCUGGGUUGCAUUUGUGAUCAAUGGGGACUGCCAUUGGGAGCGCCGGGUCUCGUUGUUCCCGUGAUUUGCAUUUGGGCCAGAUUCCGGCAUGAGAAAAUUGCUAAUCCUGAUUUCCCGCUGAACACUGCCUGCAUUCCGUAUGUGGCCUCCAAUGGGAUUGGCGUUCGCCUUGAAAUCCACAAGGAACGCACUUGUUUCAUACUUGUUUGAUCCCGUACCAUGCUGUUCACACGGUAGAGAGUAGAAACCGAGCUGCUGCUGAACGAGUGUGCAGUUUACGUUGCGUGGCAUCUGCAGUGCUGUUAGUGUUUUCUCAUGAUGCUGCAUUUGCUUUUCCAUGGCUGUUCUAUUUGGAACAUUGUGCUCUGGUGAUUUUGCGUCAAAAGUGACCGGUUCUCCAGCUAAUUGAUGUGCAGGUAUGUGGGUCAUGUGAGCCAUGUGGAUAUUAAGGAUGCCGUGCCCGUUCACAUGGUUUUGCUUGCCCUUCCCGUCCCUAGAAAUAUUAGUGUCCCGUUCCAUGAUCAUUUUGUCUCUUCUUAUUAUUAAAAGGUGAUAGCAUGGAUACAUGUUUGGUGUGAUACACAGAGAUGCAGUUUCUUGUCGUCUUAAAUAAAGAUAUACUUAUUUCACUUUGUAAUCCUAACACAUAGAAAUGGAAGUAGUUCCAAGUUUGCUGUUUGUUUCAACCCAAUGAUUUUCCUAGCAUUAUUAUGCUAUCUGUGCUUGCUAAUAAAUUGUCACGUGAAGCAGAAAGCUGCAUUCUGAAUUUUGAUAAAGAUGUACACAGUAUAUACAUAUUGAUAAUGGAGUUCCUGGGCAUUUGGUUACCUUGGUUAUUUCCAUCCUAUCUUAAGAUCAGCUUCUUACCUGUGUUGUUUUUCCUCUACAGACUGUUCAAUCGCAGCAGCGGGCUGAGCGAGAUGCUGCAAUCGCUAGACUGGAGCAAAGCCGUCUAGUCCUUGCUAUGAGAUUAGCAGAGCAUCAGGGGAAGAGGUACCGAGUGAUUGACGAAGCCUUGGCGUUUGUGGGUGAAGUGAGUGACAAGAGUCGAUUUAUCUCACCAGAAGAUGUCCGUGCAACCCAGACAGAGGAUAAUGCAGAGGGAAACAGGGGCAGUGGUUCAAGGAUCAUGUCAAACGUGCUAGCAUGUAGUUUAUCCUUAGCCAAGAAUUCAUUUCGGCUGGACAAGAUUGGUGGUGCUCUAGGUAACGCUGCGGUAUUUGCAGUAAGUAUGCUUGCUUUCUUGCAGCUGCAUCAAAUUGCACUUGGAAGUAGAACUCCAGCCAUGGGAUACAGGAAGAGAAUUGAGUACAGUUUUCAAUCUGGCAGCUCACAACAGAAUGGGAAAGGGAAACAUUUGGAGGUUUACCUAGCCAGAGGCUGAGGAAUUAUUAGAUCACGCUGUUGGCUGUACAGAAAGUUUUGACCAAAGAUCAAUUUUUGUUGGUUUUGUUAGGGCACUGAUCAUUCUUUACUACGACGGGCUGGACCCUGUUCCAGGAAACUAGGGGACUGGCUGUCCGAUUCUUUUGGAUGGAUUGGAAGGAUACCACGUAUUGUACCCCCCAAAUUGUAAAUGGCUUUGUUCUUAGAGAUGGAUUGUUUGUAAACCGUGUCCUUGUUCAAGGUAACUUGAACGGUCGUGGUCUGAAGGCAAUAGCCUUCCACACCAUCUUCCCUCCACUUUCUUGCCAGUUUUGAUCAUAUCCAUUCUGCAAAAGGCAACUGCUGCUUGUGCUAUUGAGUGUGGUGUGUUCAAGGUUCUUUGCUUGUGUGAUAAGUUUCAUGUUCGUGUGGUUGCAGAUUGGGUACAUGUGGUGCUUGUGCCUAUGCUUUAAUUGGAGUACUGAUGAUGUUAUUUGCUUUCUGCUGCCUUGUGCUUGAUGAUGCUUCUUCCCUGCUUUGCUUUGUUGAUUGCUGGUCUGGUCAUAUUUGGUGCCGAAGCUGCUUUGUUUAUACGUAGCCCAACUCUUUUCUAGAUGCACCAGUAUCCAGCUUUGUUACUUUGAGCUUUGGUCUACCUGACUCACCCAUGCUGCGCCCACUGGUCGGUUGCUUUGUGUCUGUUCCGUUCACUGAAUACUGUACAGUAUAAUCUGUUGAAAAAUUGAAGUAAACACAUCCUGAUGGUCGGUGAUGCUGUUGCAUAUUCUUUUAAGGAUAGUUCUCAUGGGGUUCUGGUGAGCUCUAAUUAAAGUUGAUUUAUGCUGAUAGGAUGCCUAUUGUCAAUAACAGUACAGUGAUCUCUGUUUUUUCCCUUUAAAAACAGAGUAGGUGCAAUUUUACUAUUCAUAAUGUUCAUUCACAGUGGAUUUAUUUUAGAUGCAUUCAUCAUCGGAAUUUUUUAGGCGAGUGGUUCAAACAUGAAAAAUACUGCUACCGAAUGUGGUUGCUUAUGGGCCUAAUUAUUGUCACGAGCUUAACACAAAAUGAGCUGUCUACACACCGAUCGCCUAAGACUAAUCAUAGGAUCAAUCAUUUCCCAUUUUAUUGUGAAAAUUUGCACUCAUGUCGGGACAAAAGAGAUUUCCGUGCCUUUUUUUGUUCGCUUGCUUAUCUUUUCUCGAAUUUGGAAGCAAUAAAGUGAAAGGAAAUUCUAGAAGGAAAUAAAGAUCUUUCUCGCACUCAUUGAGCUAAAAAAAAGAACCCAUGUAAAAUAAAAGCUUAAAAGAAACCGCCUCUUUUUGACAGAUAAAGAGGGAAUAUUUGCUGCUGCCUGCGCUGAGUCCCGAGAAGUCUAAAUUAAGCUUAUGAGCAAAUUUAGACUAAAUUAAGAUAUUUAUAAGUAGGUACCUAGAACUUUGGAGAAAAGUUUGAAGUGGCCCAAUGUUCAGUUACUAGCCAAAACCCAAAAUCUCAACUGAGUGUUGUGAGUCUUUUUUCAGGAUGAGCAGGAAAGAUUGCGCCUAUGCUCGGAUUGAUCUUAUCCAUCUCUACCUGCUUUACCCAAUUUUAGAAGUUGUUUGAUGCAUCUUUGGGGCUUCUUUGGUGACCCCCAAGAAGGAAACACAUGCUGACGUAGAUUCCUCUUCAUGCACACAACAUACUUGAUCGGUGGUGAUCAGAUCUUGUCGUACGAGUUUACAGAUUUGUUGAGGCGGUUUACUUUUGCACGUGGUUAUACAGCAACAGAUGAUGACAGUGGCCGGCAUAGUUAGAAUAAUCUGAAGAGGAAUGGUCUCCACUUUCGUUGAUCAGGCCAACAUAAGCAGCUGCGUAAUGAAAGCUUUGUUUAUUUGCAUUGUUACAAAGGGACCUGCGCCAUGCCACGCUGCCUUGUCUAGAACAAAAACCAUCUCGAAAUAUGUAUUAUAGGUGUCUGAUGUCGCCAGGGAUCAUCGCGUCCAUUUCUUGGGUCGGCAAGGAGCUGGAGGCUGGAGCCCGGUAUUUGUUGUUGAACUUUAGCUUGGGCCGAGCUAGACAGGCUGUUCUUCGGCCUCAACUCGCCACGGGGGCCCUUGAGUUGUCACCGCCGGGGGGGGGGGGGGGGGGGGGGGGNNNN
rnacentral:lncRNA from 1 species